GCAGUGGUGGUUCAGUGGUAGAAUUCUUGCCUUCCAUGUGGGAGACCCCAUUUAAUUCUGGGCCAAUGCG
rnacentral:tRNA from 1 species